CGUAGGUGGCAAGCGUUGUCCGGAAUCAUUGGGCGUAAAGCGCGCGCAGGCGGUCCUUUAAGUCUGAUGUGAAAUCUCGCGGCUUAACCGCAAACGGUCAUUGGAAACUGGAGGACUUGAGUGCAGAAGAGGAAAGCGGAAUUCCAUGUGUAGCGGUGAAAUGCGUAGAGAUAUGGAGGAACACCAGUGGCGAAGGCGGCUUUCUGGUCUGCAACUGACGCUGAGGCGCGAAAGCGUGGGGAGCAAACAGGAUU
rnacentral:rRNA from 1 species